CCUACGGGUGGCAGCAGUAGGGAAUAUUGCUCAAUGGGGGAAACCCUGAAGCAGCAACGCCGCGUGGAGGAUGAAGGUUUUAGGAUUGUAAACUCCUUUUGUUAGAGAAGAUUAUGACGGUAUCUAACGAAUAAGCACCGGCUAACUCCGUGCCAGCAGCCGCGGGAAUACGGAGGGUGCAAGCGUUACUCGGAAUCACUGGGCGUAAAGGGUGCGUAGGCGGGGUAAUAAGUCAGAUGUGAAAUCCUGUAGCUUAACUAAAGAACUGCAUUUGAAACUGUUACUCUGGAGUGUGGGAGAGGUAGGUGGAAUUCUUGGUGUAGGGGUAAAAUCCGUAGAGAUCAAGAAGAAUACUGAUUGCGAAGGCGAUCUGCUGGAACAUUACUGACGCUGAUGCACGAAAGCGUGGGGAGCAAACAGGAUUAGAUACCCGAGUAGUC
rnacentral:rRNA from 1 species